rnacentral:rRNA from 1 species
CCUACGGGAGGCUGCAGUGAGGAAUAUUGGUCAAUGGCCGGAAGGCUGAACCAGCCAAACCGCGUGAGGGAGGAAGGCGCAGAGCGUCGCAGACCUCUUUUGCCGGGGGACAAAAGGCCGGACGGGUCCGGUUCUGAGGGUACCCGGAGAAAAAGCAUCGGCUAACUCCGUGCCAGCAGCCGCGGUAAUACGGAGGAUGCGAGCGUUAUCCGGAUUCAUUGGGUUUAAGGGGUGCGCAGGGGGGCCUUUAAGCCGGCGGUGAAAUCGCGGGGCCCAACCCCGCCGCGCCGGUGGAACUGGGGGCCUUGAGUGCAGCGGAGGCAGGCGGAAUGCGCGGUGUAGCGGUGAAAUGCAUAGAUAUCGCGCAGAACCCCGAUUGCGAAGGCAGCGUGCCGUGCCGCCACUGACGCUGAGGCACGAAAGCGCGGGGAUCAAACAGGAUUAGAUACCCGAGUAGUC